UAGAAAACUGCUCCUUUGAGUGUUUUUAGAUACGCAUGAAGAUUCUCUCGACGAAAAGUGUUUCUUCAUGCUUUUAUUAUACCA
rnacentral:antisense_RNA from 12 species